rnacentral:rRNA from 1 species
GAGAGGUGCUGCAUGGCUGUCGUCAGCUCGUGUUGUGAAAUGUUGGGUUAAGUCUCGCAACGAGCGCAACCUCUAUCGUCUGUUGCCAGCAUUAAGUUGGGCACUCUGACGAGACUGCCUGGGUUAACCAGGAGGAAGGUGGAGAUGACGUCAAGUCCUCAUGGCCCUUAUGUCUAGGGCUACACACGUAAUACAAUGGCACGUACAGAGGGAAGCGAACUCGCGAGGGGGAGCAAAUCUCAAAAAACGUGCCUCAGUUCGGAUUGGAGUCUGCAACUCGACUCCAUGAAGUUGGAAUCGCUAGUA